GACGAACCGUGCGAACGUUAUUCGGAAUCACUGGGCUUAAAGCGCGUGCAGGCGGAUGGGGACGUCGGUCGCUGAAAGCCCCCGGCUCAACCGGGGAACGGGCGCCGAAACGCCCCGUCUGGAGGGACGUAGGGGGACCUGGAACUUCCGGUGGAGCGGUGAAAUGCGUAGAUAUCGGAAGGAACGCCGGUGGCGAAAGCGACGUGCUGGACCUCUACUGACGCUGAGGCGCGAAAGCCAGGGGAGCAAACGGG
rnacentral:rRNA from 1 species